UACGGAGGGUGCGAGCGUUGUCCGGAAUCAUUGGGCGUAAAGCGCGCGUAGGCGGCCCUGUAAGUCCGUUGUGAAAGUCAAAGGCUCAACCUUUGAAAGCCGAUGGAUACUGCAGGGCUAGAGUCCGGAAGAGGCGAGUGGAAUUCCUGGUGUAGCGGUGGAAUGCGCAGAUAUCAGGAGGAACACCAUAGCGAAGGCAGCUCGCUGGGACGGUACUGACGCUAAGGCGCGAAAGCGUGGGGAGCGAACAGG
rnacentral:rRNA from 1 species